GGAACAUUUGGCAGAAAGCUAACAACAAAUCACCAAUAAAGAACCAAGAAACAGAAGUACUGUCUGGAAUCUUUAGUGAGAUGAUUCUUAUUUUGUAAAACUGUAAUUCCGGAAGAAAGAAAAUGCAAAUGAGUUAUUAUUCACAUACAUUGUAAUUUAGCAGAUUAUAUGUACCUAACAAAUACAUGUCUCCGGAUCCACGUACUGCAUACUAAUCAAUGAUUUCCACGACAAUUUGGCGAUGAUGAUGGGAUGGCUAACUCCGUUCACUGAUCGUUUCCAGGGACUCCAAGGUUAAACUGCACGCAGGGACCACAAUGGUGUGGUUCAGGGAGCUCACAUUCCGUCUAGGCCGGCACAGAAGGGACCCGCCUCGGACCUGGCAGGGAGCGUCAAUGGAUGGAUACGCCAUCCCGAACAUAAAAACUAAAGAGUGAGACUGAGUUUUCUUCUUACAAUAACUCCAUUGGGGGGAAAAGUUUUCAGACCUUUAAUUAAGAGGUUUUCAGACCUUUUAAUAAAACCUGUUUGGGCCCGUGGGGCCUCUAGUGGAACAGGCUGUGCAGUAAACCAUUUUGGGAAACUGUAAUUCAUCAAUGAUGAAUAUAAAAUACAUGUAUAGACAAGAGAAUUGCUAUGACAUGGCAUAGAUGUAUACAUGAAAGAUUAAAAAAAAUAAACCCCUGGGCAGAUGUCCAGGAGGGGUUCAAUGAGGACCUUCUCUGGUCCGCAGAGGGGGAAUACCAAACUCUCACUGUUCUCCUAGAGAGAAUAAAGAUUGCCUACCCUACAGUGACUGAUUGGGCUGCGAUCCACAGUUGUGUACUGCGAUCCCUGGAAGACUAUAGAGACAGGUUAGAGAAGUGUUUCAGAAAAUACAGUGGCCUGAACAGCUCUGAGAACUAUAAUAGCCUGCUAAAGGCCUCCAGCCUGCUUUGAGCCAAACUGUAAAACUCACUUGCAUUGGGUGGGAGACAGUACCUCUACAGACUGUGAUUGAACAUUGUAAACAUGCGGAACGGCAGCAGCAGUCUGCUGAUAAUAAGGCUACAUCCAAACAAGAAAAGGAAAACACCAAGCUCCAGGCUGCUCAGCUCAUGUAUUAUCAGGGACAAGGUCAGCAAUUCGGCGGAAAGGGGGGAGGAACUGGUGGUUCUCGGAAGAUUGGAAAAAAUCAGGAGGGAGGACGAGGGAGAGGUGGACAGGGACGGAGCGGGGACCAGACAAGAGAUCAGUCAUGUUACAAUUGCGGUAAAUAUGGUACAUUUUAUAGAAGGUGCCCUGAACCGAAGGGACAGGAAGUUGUGGGUGGUGGAUGGCAGACGGGACCAUCACACAAUGUCACACUCAAUAAACCUAAGGAUGACUGAAGUGUAGCGGAGACAGCUGACAAAUCUUCGCAGAAACAGUUCCUUAAGAGAUUUACUAAGUCCAAAGAUACCCCUUGUGUUACCCUUCUGAUCGAAGGUAAGCCCCCAAGUUUUCUAGUAGAUACUGGUGCUGCAAUGUCUGUUAUCAUGCAUGACUCCAAGUAGAAUUUUCCCAUGUCAAAUGAAACUGUGCGCACUGUAAGUGCUUCUGGUGUAGAGAUGAUUGAGUCUUUAACUAUGCUUUUAUCUGUAGAUGGUAUUCCAAAUCGUCACCAAUUAAUUUUAUCUACAUGUUGUCCCUGCAAUUUGGCCAUGAAAGUUACCUGUGAACUGGACGGUCUUGUAAUUACACAGCCACAGGAGGACUGUCAGAGAUUGAUGCUGUCUGACAUUCAGACAUGUCCAGAUUGGCAUUAUGCAUGGGAUUUACGAGCAGAUGCAGUCCUUACGUGCCUUGGUGAAAUCUAUUCCAUUGUGCGCUCUUUUGAAACAAAAUGGUUCGGUCAUGCCUGAAGCGGGAUUGCAUUGCACUUCUCAUUUCUCCCCAUUGGUUAGAGACUACAAGAAGAAAUGGCAAGUCAAAUCAGGGUCUGAGACUGUGAUAUGCGGGAAUGUUUAUAUAGGACCAGACCAUUGUGUAUUAGCGGUCCAAUUAACAAGCAAACAACAAUCAUUGUUUGGCUUUACUGAUAGGAUACCCCACAUUUCAAUAGCAAAGACAGAUCAUGUUAACUGGGAGAAUGCUGGCCCCUGGCUGGAAACUGUGCUGGAUGUGAAUGAUUGGAUUACCAUGAAAGAUGGUUGUAAAUUCUCCCCCACAUUGCAUGUUUGGUGUGUUCCAUUCUGUUGGGCUGCCCCAGCCCAGCAGGGUGUUCAUGGUGUUGACAAAUCUAUGCCUCUAUUGCAGAUGGUCUCAAAUCAGUUGUUGAUUCCCUGCUGCUUCACGGCCUUCCUGAUAUCUUUAGCCCACAGUGUAAGUUUGAUAUUGGACAAAUGAAGGGCGUUCAGCCCAGUAGGGCCCAGUACCCUCUUAGUAAGGAAGCUGAAGAAGGGAUUGCUAUUGUUCAUAAUUCCCUGGUAGGGAUGGGUGCCAUAAUAAUGCCCUUAUUCUCCAUGUAACACUGCCAUCCUUCCUGUUCGUGAAGCUAAUGGGGAUUGGCGAUUUGUUCAAGAUCUUAGACCUGUUAAUGAAGUAAUACAUGCUGGUUCCCCUGUCAUUCUCAACCCUGUCACAGUCGUAUCUGAUGUCCCAUCCCCCGCAAAUUGAUUUUCAGUUAUUCAUUUUUCAGUAUUCCUGUGGCAAAGGAAUCUCAAUACUGGUUUGCUUUUACGUUCCGUGGGAAGCGAUGGACCUGGUCCGUCCUCCCUCAACGGUACAUUGAGUCUCCAGCUGUCUUCUCUGCAGCACUUGCUCAAAAAUCUGAAAGGGGUUCUUACCUCCGGCAGGAAGUAAGCUCAUUCAAUAUGUUGAUGAUUUACUCUUGUGCUCUGAGACUCAGAAGGAUUGUGAAACUGAUACCAGAGUGUUGUUGAAAUUCUUAGCUGAGAAUGGCCACACAUUUUCCAAAACAAAAUUGCAACUUGUCCAACAAUCUGUUAGGUACCUAGGCCAUGAGAUCACGCCUAAUGGUAGAUUGUUGGGUCCAGAACGCGUUAAAGCAGGGCUGGAACUUCCCAAGCGAAUACCCAAAGGCCAAAUGAUGAGCCUUUUGGGUGUGGCCGGCUACUGCCGAGCCUGGCUUCCAGACUUUGCCGAAAUCACAGCCUCUGUCUAAUCACAAAAUGGCCAUGAAGGACAACAUUUUUGGACCACUGACGGACUGACUUCCCUGGAUCGUCUCAAACACUCCCUGUUUACCUGUUACCUCUCCCUGUUUAGGUUUACCAGAUCAUACAAAGCUGUUUAACCUCUUUGUGGAAAAAAAUGGGUUUGGCUACUACUCCAAGCGUUUGGAUCUAGUCUCUCGGGCUCUGGUCUGCUGCCUACGGGCAGUUGCCGCAGCUACUGAGGCUGUUCUGGCUUGUGCAGACAUUGUUGCAAUGUGCCCUCUCACUGUUCAUGUUCCACAUGCUGUUCAUUCUCUCAUUUAACUGGCUAAGACAGCACAUUUGCACCCUGCUAGGUUACUGCAAUAUCAAAACAUUCUCAUGACAUGGUCGUGCAUGAUUUUGGUUCGCUGUGGCGCCAGCGCGGGUUCCUAACAGCAUCUGGUAAGAAUCUGUCACUCUAGGUUAGUUGCUAAUCUAGUAUACUCUAUCUUACUACCGGACUCCAUUUCUGUGUGCAAAUGUCAGUCUCGUACUAAUGCCUCUGAUUCCGUCUCUAAAGGUAAUGCUGUAGCUGAUAUGGAUGACCAGGAUUUUCCUUAUAUGCCAAAAAUGUGUGAUUUGUAUGACAAACAAUGUGGGUAGGGGCACAAUGAUGCCUAUGUCGGCCCACCAAAGGCCUGAGGGUCCAUUUUGAGCACUUAAUGAUGGAUUUCAUUGAGUUGACUCUAUGCCAGAGAUACAAAUGUUGCCUGAAAGAUGGGGCCUACCAUCGAAAUUGACAUCAGACAAUGGCUCCCAUUUUGUAAAUACGGUAAUUGAAUGAGUCUCCACUAGUUUGAAGAACCAUCUGCGCACACAUUGUAGCUAUCAUCCAGCCAGUAGUGGAGCUAAUCAGACUCUUAAAACCAAACUGACCAAAUUGAUGGCUGAGACAGAGUUGUCUUAGGUAACAGUGAUGCCACUUGCCUUAAUGUAAAUGCGAGGCAGAGAGCAUCGCACUACGGAAGUAUCUCCUCAUGAAGUGCUUACAGGCAGACCAAUGAAGAUGAUCACCACUCCUUUCCCACAGAAUAGACUGACAUUGCAAGGCUGCGACGACGAGAUGGUGAGUUACUGCAUCGCACUUAAUGUGUUGAAGUCUAUUUUUCCUAGGGUGAAAGCAGCCCUGCCUGAGCCAAAAGGAGGACCACCACAAAAGAUCCAACCAGGCGACUGGGUUGUCGUGAGGGACUUCCGUAGAAAGUACUGGCAUCAACAUAGGUGGUUGGGACCAUACCAGGUGCUACUGAUCUCCCAGACGGCUGUGAAGGUUGCUGAGAGACCUAUGUGGGUCCACGCCAGCCACUGCAGGAAGGUGCCAUACAAACCUGAUGACGAUGUAUCAGCUAAUGCCAGGACGACGACCACCACAAUGGCCAUGGAGUAGCGAGGAAGGCUUACUGAAGGUCACGUUCAUUGCCUUCAUCGUCAGUAUUGCUGUUUCCGACCAUGGAGGCUGUGGGGAACCACAGAGAACAUUGAGGGAACAACAGCAGCAACAUAGUCCAACGACAGGACUUAAAUAAAAGCUGCCUCAGUGCGAGCCCACGGCGGGCUCAAGACUGGAAUCUAGAAAAUAACAGCCGAACUGCAUGAUUGGGCAACAGCCCACGGGAAUGGCUGGUGGAUGCUGAUGAACCACAAGCUGUUCUCCCACUUCACCUCAGUUGCACUGACACUGACCAAGACAACAGGCACAUGAAUGUUAUGCGGUUGUACAGGGGAUCAAUGUGAAGGACAUGGAUGACAACUGUAGCAAAACCAAGUAAACAUGACUAUUUUUAUAAUCAUUGCUUGCUGAAGUUCUUUUUGUGACUGUAACACAAAUAAUAAAGUAUUUGUCACCUCCCAUUCCUUAGGAUAUGGGAAAAAGUGUUUAUGCAUUGUUAAAAGUGAGUUGAUUGUUUUAUAUUUAAUCAAUAUUGGUUUAAUGAUGAUUAAUGGUUGG
ensembl:lncRNA